rnacentral:rRNA from 1 species
UGGGGAAUAUUGCACAAUGGGGGAAACCCUGAUGCAGCAACGCCGCGUGAGUGAAGAAGUAUUUCGGUAUGUAAAGCUCUAUCAGCAGGGAAGAAAAUGACGGUACCUGAGUAAGAAGCCCCGGCUAACUACGUGCCAGCAGCCGCGGUAAUACGUAGGGGGCAAGCGUUAUCCGGAUUUACUGGGUGUAAAGGGAGCGUAGACGGUGAUGCAAGUCUGAAGUGAAAGCCCGGGGCUCAACCCCGGGACUGCUUUGGAAACUGUAUGGCUGGAGUGCUGGAGAGGCAAGCGGAAUUCCUAGUG